ACCACAAAAUCUCCCUCUCUGCCCUGCCACAGUUGGUCCUGAUUUGACUGUCUCUGUGGAGAAGCCAAGGAUCAAAUGCUCCAUGGCGCCAGACUGUUUUCUUUUGCAGCCUGCAGGUCACCAGGAUACUUAAGAAGUUUGCGUUAAUUAUACCAUGUUUGCCAUCAAAGAGGGGAUAUUAACCCUUUCGAGCUGUUGCAGGAAAGCAGUGGAGCCAUUUGAAAGAACUGCUGAAUCCCCCACUCGGAGAAGCAUGCUCCUCCGGGCGCUGGGGGAUGCACCACCCCUCCUGACAGCCUGAUGGAUUAUGGCCCCAGUUCUGUCAGUGGAUCCAACCAAACCAGCAAAGAGGCAGAGAGGCA